rnacentral:rRNA from 1 species
GAUGAACGCUGGCGGCGUGCCUAAUACAUGCAAGUAGAACGCUGAAGAGAGGAGCUUGCUCUUCUUGGAUGAGUUGCGAACGGGUGAGUAACGCGUAGGUAACCUGCCUUGUAGCGGGGGAUAACUAUUGGAAACGAUAGCUAAUACCGCAUAACAAUGGAUGACACAUGUCAUUUAUUUGAAAGGGGCAAUUGCUCCACUACAAGAUGGACCUGCGUUGUAUUAGCUAGUUGGUGAGGUAACGGCUCACCAAGGCAACGAUACAUAGCCGACCUGAGAGGGUGAUCGGCCACACUGGGACUGAGACACGGCCCAGACUCCUACGGGAGGCAGCAGUAGGGAAUCUUCGGCAAUGGGGGCAACCCUGACCGAGCAACGCCGCGUGAGUGAAGAAGGUUUUCGGAUCGUAAAGCUCUGUUGUAAGAGAAGAACGAGUGUGAGAGUGGAAAGUUCACACUGUGACG